CGAAAGCCGUGUGGUGAAUUUGGCCUUGAUGACUCCUUUCAUUUCAGGAUUCACUUCGUGCAGUUCGGAGGGCUUCAGACUCACAUAGACUCCUUGGGGACAUAGUGAGGAGCUAACCAACUGCACAUGGGAAAUGAGAAUUUUCGUGGUUAGAAAAACUGCAGCGUAUGCUUGUCUGUACUCCUGAUGCAACCUGGGGUCCGGCAGCGAAGUGACUGUUAGAACCCGUAAGACCAGACGUCCUGGAGACUGCCACACUUGUUCUCUCCAGGGGAGCUGGCUGCUUUGCAGUAUAAUGAAAAGGAACUUCCAAGUCCUUGGGCUGAUGGGCUGGUACCUGACCCAUAGAAACACCUGUGCCAUGUCACUCUGUUUGUCCACAUGACUUACCAGCUACCACCAGCACCACCCUUCAUAAAAAAAGAAUCACCCCUGCAAUCAAGGGGAGAAAAUAAA